rnacentral:rRNA from 1 species
UACGGAGGGUGCAAGCGUUAAUCGGAAUUACUGGGCGUAAAGCGUGCGUAGGCGGCUUGGCAAGUCGGAUGUGAAAACUCCAGGCUCAACCUGGAGCCGCCAUUCGAUACUGCUAUGGCUAGAGUCCGGUAGGGGAGUGUGGAAUUCCCGGUGUGGCGGUGAAAUGCGCAGAUAUCGGGAGGAACACCGAUGGCGAAGGCAGCACUCUGGGCCGGUACUGACGCUGAGGAGCGAAAGCGUGGGGAGCGAACGAGGAAU